rnacentral:lncRNA from 1 species
UUGAAUUUAUUUAUUUUAAAUCAUACUAUUAAUCAUUCUUAUUUUUAAAAUAUUAUUAUUAAUUUUUAAUAAAAAAAAUCAAUUAUUAUUUUACAAAGAUGUCAGUAUCCAUAUUUCUAUUAUAAAGAGCAAAAUAGUAUAAUAAAUUCAUUUUAAAUUUAUUUUAAAUAAUAUUGUUAAAUCUAGACUCUUGAAGGCCAAUAACCACGAUUGCCUUAAAGAUCUCAAGAACCCCUUCACCAAAAGGAUAGGAUACCAACCCAUUUCUGUACAUUUACAAACAAAAGCACUUGAAUUGAAAAGCAACAUUGAAUUUUAAGGACAACAACUCUUCAUGUAAUGCCAUUGCUGCCUAACAAAGAUCCAUCACUAUGAACAUAAAAGGUAAAAUCAACAAGUGAAAAUGUGAAAAACUAUAGCCCGUAAACACAAACAUCAGUUUAAGCAAACCCAAAUAAAAACCAGUGAAAUCAAGCCGAAUCCUCAAAAAUAAAAAACAAACCACAGAACCAAAACGAGAAUCUUAAUUCGAAAAUGGAGAUCCGGAUCUCGUAUAAGGAGAGAAACCCUAUUGCUGCUUCAGUGAAAGGAGAAGAAGAGAUGUCGUAUGGAAAGAAAGAGGCAACAAUUUGUAGUGGAUUUGCAGCGUGGAGCAAGCGAUUGCUCCCCUUCUCUCCUUCUCCCUCUCUCUCUUUCUCUUCUGACACGACAAUUCCAAUCUUCAUCAACAAUUCUCAGGUCGGGUUUCUUUGUGUUUCAGCUUUGAGAAUUAGUUCAAGUUUUAAAUUGUUUUAUCGACAUGGGAGGAUUUGCUAAUGACAUAGAGAAAUUUAAGGGUAAAUUAGUAUGAGAAAAAGUAAAUACGACAUAAUACACAUUUU